AGCAUGCCUGCCAUGUAGCAUGCUUCACUCUAUAACGUGAGCUGUUCAGUAUGUAUUAACAGUCCUUUCUACCUCGCCGUUUUUGAUAGAUAUAACAUUAGCCAUCGAGAACAAAAGUUUUGCUACUUUUCUCAAAACAUUGAUUCCAUGAAUUUAGCAGGCGCUAUCAACAGAUCAGCUGGAAAAAGUGAUGGGCUUCUUUCUGCACACGCCACAGUCAGUGUGAACCAGAGUGACUUGACACAAUGCUGGUCAAACAAGAUGUAGUUACAAACAAAACAGAGUUAAAUAGUUCCAAUCUGCCGUGAAGCGAUCAUCCAUGUAUACGGGCUUCACCAAACAUUACGAUCAUGUCACACGUGGGCAGGCAUCUACUCUGUUUGCAUAGCUUCCCAGGCAACCACCGCAGCAGGAAUGCUGUGCUACAAGGCAAAUAAGGGGGGAUAUGCUGGGACGCCUGUGAAGACAGACCCAACAUAUUACAUGUAGACAAACUCCUGGAUCUCCUCUUCAAUGAGGUCACCAUUGAUCCAGUGCCAUAUGUGGGGAAGCUGUGCAAGCUGUCCAUCCCAGGACUCCUGUCUGCCCAGUGUGUGAGGCCUGACAAGGGAGGCCAUAGCUGGAUUUGUCUCCUGCUUCAAUCUUGGGGGUGACUGAAGCCAAGUGGGUGAUUGAAGCCUGCUUGAUUGAAGUGGGGUACAUGGGUGCCCCUCCUCUCCCACUUCCCUACACAUCAAUCUCUGUAGUUGGUUGCAAGUAAUUCACUUUUACGUGAUAUAAUAUCACAUUUUAUUACUUUGUGUUGUAUUUUUUAAGCCUUCGGACGGGAGAUGAGUGUUACAAAUUGUACCAAUUAAUGGGUCCAGCACACUGUAGGGCAACCGGGUUCCUAUAUUAUAUUAUUA
rnacentral:lncRNA from 1 species